CCUACCUGUGGCAUAAAAAGGGACACACGCAGCACUGAGGAGGAAGGAGAAUGAAUGAGCUCCUCAAAUAAAUAAAGUGGCUGUGAGCGUGAAGAUCUGCGGCAAACUGUGCAGGACUGCUUCAUCUACAAAAAUCCAGGUAGCAGCAGUUUCUUUACAGUUCCUGCAAGGUGAUCGCGGAGCUGAAGCCAUGAAGUCCUCUAACCUCGUAGCCUGAGAGUGAAGUACAUGAUGUGAAGACCUCGGAGAAAAAGUACGGUACAAGAAGCUGGAUGAAGGUAAGACGACGACUCAGUGUUCGUCUUGGAACUCUGAACUCAUCUGAAACGCAAGAAGAACCAAAUGUUUAUUCAAUGUUUGUCUUUUUUGUAGAGAAUAAGAACACAAAGACACAAAAGGGUAAAAGCAAACAACAAAAGCACAUGAGAUGGAUGCUGGUUCACAUGCAGCACUUCUGAUGUUUACAUUCAUCUCCAUGCAACAACUACACAUGGAGGACAUGGAAAGACAGAUGAUGUUCUGACCGAGCAGCUUGUCGGCGAGCAUGUUGAGCUGCUCCUGGUUCAGGCCUCGCUUGGUGACGGAGGAGAACUGCCAGCUGAGAACCUCGGACAGCUGACACCACUUGGCCGGAGGCGGGGAGAGGAAGAACUUC